UUCAAUGACACAUUUGACUGAUGACUGAUCCAAAAUUAUUGAUUUAUUAUCAGUCAAAUGUGUCAUUGAAUCAAUAAGUUUGGAUCAGUCAUCAGUCAAAUGUGUCAUUA
rnacentral:pre_miRNA from 1 species